rnacentral:rRNA from 1 species
GACGUAGGGGGCGAGCGUUGUCCGGAUUCAUUGGGCGUAAAGCGCGCGUAGGCGGCCCGGUAAGUCGGAUGUGAAAUCUCACGGCUCAACCGUGGAACUGCAUUCGAAACUGUCGGGCUAGAGGCAGGUAGGGGAGAUCGGAAUUCCCGGUGUAGCGGUGAAAUGCGCAGAUAUCGGGAGGAACACCGGUGGCGAAGGCGGAUCUCUGGACCGGAACUGACGCUGAGGCGCGAAAGCGUGGGGAGCAAACAGG